rnacentral:rRNA from 1 species
UACGGAGGGUGCGAGCGUUGUCCGGAAUCACUGGGCGUAAAGGGCGCGUAGGUGGCGGCCCAAGUCAACGGUGAAAGCUCGGCGCUCAACGCCGAGUCGGCCGUCGAUACUGGGUGGCUGGAGCACUGUAGAGGCAGAUGGAAUUCCGGGUGUAGCGGUGGAAUGCGUAGAGAUCCGGAAGAACACCGGUGGCGAAGGCGGUCUGCUGGGCAGUAGCUGACACUGAGGCGCGACAGCGUGGGGAGCAAACAGG